UCUGUCUCAGCAAGUUGGUCUGCACCUGAUGGAGUGUAUGAUCGCUACAGAGUUACAUGUUCAAGUGGAUCAAAGGUAGGACCAAACACCCUCGAUGCUAAGGCGACCAUGUUUACCUGUACGGAUCUCCCAACUCCUGGAGCAAACUACACCAUCACAAUCACGACGUUGAGUGGGGAUAAAGAAAGCGAGCCAAGUCCAAUUACAAUUACAGCAUUGCCUUCCAAGGUUUCUGAAGUUACCGAGUCUGGAGCAACUAAGGACAACACCAACCGAUGUCACUCCUCAUACUGCAACUACUACUACUACUACUAUUACUACUACAACUACUACAACUACUACAACUACUACAACUACUACAUCAACUACUACAACAACUACCACUACUACUACUACUACAGCAACUACUACUCCUAGUUAUUAUACUACUAACACUACCACUCCUACUAAUUCUACUACUAACACUACUAUUCCUACUAAUUAUACUACUAACACCAUUACUCCUACUAAUGAUACUACUAACACUACUACAACUACUACUACUACUACUACUACUACUACUACUACUACUAUAACUACUACUCCUACUAAUUGUACUAUCAUUCUGUGGAUUUCCGUCUCGCUGCUCUACUUCGUUGUGUUCGGUUUGUUCUGUGUUGCCCUAAUCUACCGGAUGGAUACAAUAGCCUGAUGUACAUGUACCCAUGUUGCUAUCCGCAGUGACAACCAAACUGAAUGCACUGAAGAAGGUUGUAAGCCACGAAAGAGGUACAUCCAUGUCGUACGAUAGCCCAACCGAUGAAAAUUUACGGGACACUGUCCCAGCAGGAGACCAUCAGGACUUCGGCACUGUCAUAUCAUACAAUGACCUAAACAUUGAAGUGACGACGCCAUGCUAAGACAAGGAUCAUUUCAUGUUGCACCUAUAAAGCAAUUUAUUGUUUGAUAUAUUACUCAUUGCGGAUAUAGUAUCGAAAACAAUAUCGCUAGUGACAUUCGUUUGUCUCGCAAUGUAUGGUCAACAAGGGAUCUAAAAGAUCACGACGUUUCGUGUGCCGCUGCUACACUUCGUCAGGGGAUAAAAUUG